rnacentral:lncRNA from 1 species
ACAUUUUUACAUGUAUAAUCUAGAUAAAAUAUGCAUGUGCAAAUGUUGUAUAUUAUUCUAUUCAAGAAAACAAAAAUUAUUGCCUAUUUGUAUUAUUUGUAUGUGCAAAUGUUGAAUAUUAUACUAUUCAAUUUAAAAGCAGUAAAUUAUGCACCUCCUUUAGUUCCAAUUUGAAGCCCCUCCUUUAGUUCCAAUUUGAAGCCUAAUAACUAGAGGAAGGUAUAGUUGCGCUUGAUGCUUCGUCAGUUCCAAUUCCCAUUCCACCAUGUUUUUCCAUGAAGUCAAUCAUCUCAAUAAUAGCUUCCUCAGUUCCCAGGCGGUUAGGUCCAGAAAAAAUCUAUAAGAAAAUAUACCAUUACACAUACAAGAAAAUAUAUUGAUUCAAGUAAAUCCAUAUUUCACAACGUAAAUUGUUUCUACUUACUUCUUUUACGACGGAAAUAUUCCU